GAUCGUCUCGACAUUAUGUCCCUUGUCGGUCGGAACAAACGUGACGCUGUCGCCCGGAUU
rnacentral:sRNA from 1 species